rnacentral:misc_RNA from 1 species
GUUCGCAUGAAGGGCUUUCACAUCCCUAAAGACUAUGCAAUGGAGUACUUUCCCCCACUUGCCGGUGUGAACUCAUCUGGAGGAUAUGAAAAUGGGAAUAAGUCCAUCGAAUUAACCUUCUUCGACAGGCACUGUCAUCCAUGGACUUUUCGGUAUUCUUAUUGAAAAAGUACUCGGACAUUUGUGUUUACAAAAGGCUGGAGA